AACGUAGGAGACAAACGUUAUCCGGAGUUACUGGGCGUAAAGGGCGUGUAGGCGGUCUGUUAAGUCUGGCGUGAAAGCUCUCGGCUAAACCGGGAGAGGUCGUUGGAUACUGGCAGACUAGAGGACGGUAGAGGCGUGUGGAAUUCCGGGUGUAGUGGUGAAAUGCGUAGAGAUCCGGAGGAACACCAGUGGCGAAGGCGGCAUCCUGGACCGGUAUUGACGCUGAGGCGCGAAAGCCAGGGGAGCAAACGGG
rnacentral:rRNA from 1 species